CCCCAGGGUUGGGGGGCUUUCCCACAGACGAGCCUGCCCUGAGCACCCUGGAACUCCAGAAGAGCUAAGGGAACCUGACAACCCCCCAGACCCAGAGACAGACUGGCUGGGACAGGAUACCUCCUCAACUACCCUCCUCAACCCAGGACCUCAGCACAGACCCGGGCACAACUGGAAAUGCCUAAUGGAUACGUGUCAACUGAAAAAAGAAGCCAGGUCAUCUGCAGGGAAAAUAACUCCUGAUUUGAUAUUCUGGACAGUGCACUGGAUUGGCUGUACCUAGAUCACGUGCUCAGGCCCAUCCUCAAAGGAGACUAAGAAAAUGUAUCCCCAGGGUAACUUCUUUUAAAAGAGAUUACUGAAUCAAGAGAGAAUCUGGAUCCUAGAGAGAGAGAACCCCAACACUUCUGAGUACUGUCAGCUGGUUGCCAAGUUGGGACACCUCGUCUCAGAGCCGUACUUGUACUUGCAGAAACCUUACUUGCAGAAACCGGAGGACUCUGACAU